rnacentral:rRNA from 1 species
CGCUGGCGGCGUGCCUAAUACAUGCAAGUCGAACGGCUUUUCUAUGGAAGCUUGCUUCCACUGAGAAGAUAGUGGCGAACGGGUGAGUAACACGUGGGUAACCUGCCCAUAAGAGGGGGAUAACAUCCGGAAACGGGUGCUAAUACCGCAUAGUUUUCUUGAUCGCAUGAUUGAGAAAGGAAAGACGGCCUUUGUGCUGUCGCUUAUGGAUGGACCCGCGGCGUAUUAGUUAGUUGGUGAGGUAACGGCUCACCAAGACGAUGAUACGUAGCCGACCUGAGAGGGUGAUCGGCCACAUUGGGACUGAGACACGGCCCAAACUCCUACGGGAGGCAGCAGUAGGGAAUCUUCCGCAAUGGACGAAAGUCUGACGGAGCAACGCCGCGUGAGUGAAGAAGGUUUUUCCGGAUCGUAAAACUCUGUUGUCAGAGAAGAACAAGUUGGAGAGUAACUGCUCCAGCCUUGACGGUAUCUGACCAGAAAGCCACGGCUAACUACGUGCCAGCAGCAGC